rnacentral:rRNA from 1 species
GACGAACGCUGGCGGCGUGCUUAACACAUGCAAGUCGAACGGCAAGGCCCUGCUUUUGUGGGGUGCUCGAGUGGCGAACGGGUGAGUAACACGUGAGUAACCUGCCCUUGACUUUGGGAUAACUUCAGGAAACUGGGGCUAAUACCGGAUAGGAGCUCCUGCUGCAUGGUGGGGGUUGGAAAGUUUCGGCGGUUGGGGAUGGACUCGCGGCUUAUCAGCUUGUUGGUGGGGUAGUGGCUUACCAAGGCUUUGACGGGUAGCCGGCCUGAGAGGGUGACCGGCCACAUUGGGACUGAGAUACGGCCCAGACUCCUACGGGAGGCAGCAGUGGGGAAUAUUGCACAAUGGGCGGAAGCCGGAUGCAGCAACGCCGCGUGCGGGAUGACGGCCUUCGGGUUGUAAACCGCUUUCGCCUGUGACGAAGCGUGAGUGACGGUAAUGGGUAAAGAAGCACCGGCUAACUACGUGC